UAGGGAAUCUUCCACAAUGGACGGCAAGUCUGAUGGAGCAACGCCGCGUGAGUGAAGAAGGGUUUCGGCUCGUAAAGCUCUGUUGUUAAAGAAGAACGUGGGUAAGAGUAACUGUUUACCCAGUGACGGUAUUUAACCAGAAAGCCACGGCUAACUACGUGCAAG
rnacentral:rRNA from 1 species